GGUGUGAAUAUAACUGCUAUAAUUGGCUUGAACAUCUGUAGAAUCAUGACACAGCUGUCUGAAUUCUACUUAUGGUGAGAUGUGCCUUCUUCCAUGAUUGUGAGGUCUCCCCAGCUUCAUGGAACUUCCUUACAGGCACUCCAGUCUGUUCAGUCCCAGGUUCACCCGCUCAUCAGGGGAACUCGACCUACCCUAGUGGACCUCACUGACCAGCCAUACACCCCUUCCAGCCAGGGGACAAGAUCCUGGUAAAGAGAUUCACCGCCUCCAACCUGACUCCUCGCUGGAAGGGAACCUACACCGUGAUCCUGGUCACCCUUACGGCCAUCAAGAUGGACGGACUAACUGCCUGGAUUCUCCACUCACAUGUCAAG
rnacentral:lncRNA from 1 species